AUUGAACGCUGGCGGAAUGCUUUACACAUGCAAGUCGAACGGUAGAGGGGGCAACCCCUCGAGAGUGGCGAACGGGUGAGUAAUAUAUCGGAACGUGCCCAGUCGUGGGGGAUAACGUAGCGAAAGUUACGCUAAUGCCGCAUACGAUCUACGGAUGAAAGCGGGGGAUCGCAAGACCUCGCGCGAUUGGAGCGGCCGAUAUCAGAUUAGGUUGUUGGUGAGGUAAAAGCUCACCAAGCCUGCGAUCUGUAGCUGGUCUGAGAGGACGACCAGCCACACUGGAACUGAGACACGGUCCAGACUCCUACGGGAGGCAGCAGUGGGGAAUUUUGGACAAUGGACGCAAGUCUGAUCCAGCAAUGCCGCGUGCAGGACGAAGGCCUUCGGGUUGUAAACUGCUUUUGUACGGAACGAAACGGUGAGCUCUAAUACAGUUUGCUAAUGACGGUACCGUAAGAAUGAGCACCGGCUAACUACGUGCCAGCAGCCGCCGUAA
rnacentral:rRNA from 1 species